GCUCCCGUGGUGAAAUGGAUAUCACGCUUGGCUUCGGACCAAGUAUUUUGGGUUCGAAUCCUGACGGGAGCGC
rnacentral:tRNA from 1 species